ACGCUCGACACCUACGGGAGCAGCAGUGGGGGAUAUUGCACAAUGGGCGAAAGCCUGAUGCAGCGACGCCGCGUGAGGGAAGACGGUCUUCGGAUUGUAAACCUCUGUCUUCAGGGACGAAAGGAAUGACGGUACCUGAGGAGGAAGCCACGGCUAACUACGUGCCAGCAGCCGACGGUAAUCUGAGCGGGCUGGCAAGGC
rnacentral:rRNA from 1 species